AAAUAACACAUCACAUUAAAAUUUAUUCCAUCACAUUAAAAUCAAAAUAUUAAGUGAAAUACACUAGAACAAAUUUGAAAGUACACUAAAACUUAAAAAAUAUCGUAGCAUUGCAAAAACAGAUUUGAUCCAACUUUCUUCAUUGUUCAUUAGAAGUGGUUUGAUAUGGUGAAAUACUUGACUUUGUCGUUUCAAAUGCUCGAUCAAGGAGUUGAAUGUUUUGCUGAAGUUAUCCACUCGAUCCUAAUAAGCUCUUUCCAUCCGUGCCUGAAAAAAAUGUAUAAGUACAUAAGCGUGACAUAAAUACAAAUAAGCACAAGCUAAACAAAAAAUAUGGCACCAUAACGACUAAAGCAUGAAGACACCAAAAGUGCUUAUGCCAAUACAAAACACCCAACCGAUCUUGCAACAUAUAUAAAACAAAAGUUUCAACAUAUAAGUAUAUACCGAAAAAAAGUUCCCAACACUACGCAAUAGAUACCAAACACUUUAUACAAUAUAUAUCAAACAUCAUAAGGUGGCGCAAUAUACCAAAGAAUAUAUCUCAAAUACCACGGACUCAGCCUGCAUAACAACAUAAACCCUGCGAAGUAAAGUGACAAGCCAGCCCCCCUCCUCCCCCACCCUUGAAGAGAAAGAAAGAGAUAAAUGAUUAAAGAAAAUCUCCCAUAAAAGCUACGGCAAUGUUUACCUUCUGCUAAACCUUUUUCUUUAACACGGAACUAACAACCUUUGUGUUUGCCACAUGGAAUUACCAGAUAGCUUCUCAAGCAGAUCCCUUGGAGCUUAAAACGCAGAUCUGUUACACCAACUCAUAAAUAUAAUCAUGCCCAUCUCAUACGAAGAAGAUGCUAUGAUAACACAAUAUCAAAAACAAAAGAAAACAUUACAUAAAUAUAUUGAUGAAAAAAUAUUCAAAAAAACUCGUACAUGUGACUUGGGGUUCACUGUCCUUGAAAAGAUCGCCUUCUCAUUUGUCAUCAUUUUCUCUUCGUCUGCCAAAAAAAAAAAUGAUUUUGCUAACAUAAGAGGAUCUGUUUUCUCCAUGAAAGAAAAAACAAAGUUGACUUGAUCUUUAAAAUACCUCUGCCAUAACAACCAAUUUCAUGCUUUAUCCACAAUAAUUUGAUACAUUCCGGCUCUUUAUAUGCUAGCAAAUGCACCAAAUGCAGCUUCUAAUUGAUUUCUCACAAACUCCCAAAACAAACCCACCUCAUGUAUGGAUCAUAUUUAACUAGAACAAUAUUAAAUAAUUAACAUCCUACUAGAAUGAAAUAACUAACGUAAAAGUUUUUUCAUAAACAUCAUAUAUGUCCAUAUAAAUUGAGAAGUUCAUUUUAAACAGACAUUAAUGUUCUUAUGUACAUUUUUAUAUUACUUCAACUGUAUAUUUUACUUAAAUAUCUACUAAUAAACUAUAAAUAAAAACCAAGAAAAAGUAAUCACUCCAAAGUAUUGGUUCAUACUCCAGUGACUAUCUUAUCAAAGCUUAAGACACAAUAAUCAACUUCCCACCAAAUUAGUCAUUUCUAUGAGUGUACUGUAUAUCAUCAAAGUAUAGAUAUCAAUACCCUAUGAGUGCAAAAGCUCAAUUUCAGAUUUAAUGGACCUACAGACCAAUUAUAUAUUUAGGAACUCAUUACCUAGUUAAGGGAAUCAGAGGGAGGACAGCAUUCACGAAAAAUAUAUUAUAUAAACUAAAUUAAAUGCAAGAAGCAAUUAAAUAAAUAGUAAAAUACAAUAGAUACUAUGCAUCUCAGCAAAUUUAUAAAAUUUGAAAUCAACUAUAAACUAGAAAUAUUACCAUCAAUAAAAUCAUUAACCCCAAACAAACAAGUUGCACAUAUUGAAUUUUCAGCUUUUUAAUUCAAGCAAAAUUCAAACCCAAUGAUAAAAGAAAAGGGCAACAGCAGAAGGAAAGUCAAAUAAGGUAAACAAGAAAUCGGAGAGAAAAAAAAAAACUUACGGCAGGGUAAUGACUAUCGAGCUUCUUCGUCAUGGCGCACUCAGAUUUACUGCGCCAUAACAAAUUCAACUAAAAUUAGGGAUAAACUAUAAGGGGAAAAGCAGAAUUGCUAACCUAUCUCCAUGAAAUCGAAUAAAAAAAUAGGAUUCUUCGAUCCGUAUCCGAAAUUAGAUACAGUGUUGAGUGUUCAAUCCAUCUCGAUGAAAUCUCCACGAACGAACAUGUUGUUGCCCAAAUAUGAAAAUAAUCUUCUUCUUUGACAGGGUAUUGCAGUCUGCAAUUUGUUGGAGAAAAACCAAAAUUGCAGGACAGCACGUUGGUGAGAGGAACAAAGGGGUGAUGGCUACGUCCAGGGAGAAGACAAUCGAGGCGAUAACAGACUGAUAUAAUCAUGGCGGCGAAUAGUCGAGGCGAAGGGACGGCGAAUCGUGGAGGUGAAGGGACGACGAAUCGUGGCGGCAAAGCAACGGCGGCGAAUCAUCGAGGCGAAGGGACGGCGAAUCGUAGGGGCGAAGUGC
rnacentral:lncRNA from 1 species